GCGAGCCGGCCGGCCGCGGAGCCUGGCCACGCCCCCGUCUUUCCGUUCUCAGCCUCGCCUCCAGAGCAUGCGCAAUGGGGAGGUCCGACGCUACGUUGCGUCUGGCGUCCUUCGCUCACGCCAACAGCGAAAACCUGCCUGCGGAAGCGGAACUGGGUCCGUCCCGGAAGGUUUAUUGGGCGGUUUCCGACCGCGUGCGGGGCGCGGCGGUGUCAGUAGAGCCAGGGAAGAGUUAAGCUCUUCCCUCUGGGGGCGACUCUCUCAACUGUCAUUUUCAAUAAGCCUGUAACUUGCCUUUUCUGUUUGUCCAUGUUCAUUUUUUUAAAGGUUAUCUUUUUGAAGAUUUGCCACAGUUCUCACCUACUUAUUUGCCGCACUUGAUAGAUGAAGCAAUCUGAGAUUGAGUGAUACCACACUAGAAUGUGGUGAAGCCAAAAAUCAAGUCACAAGCUCAGAGUCCUUUCCGUCACCUCAAAAUGCCUCUCAGACUUAGGCUCAGAUUUGGAUGUUGAGAAUACAGAAGUACACCAGAAAAGUAAAGCCCUGCUGUCAUGACGCUUUAUUCAAGAGGAGAUGGAGAGAAAAAAACAGACAAGAUGGUAUCAGGUGUUGGUAAAUGUCUGGGAGACAAUAAAACAAGUUAACAUGCAAGAGAGUGGGGGGAGGGGGCAUCUUUAGCUUACAGGGAAAGACUGUCUGAUAAUUUGACAUCUGAACUGAGACAGCAGAUUAGAAAAACAGAAGGAACCAGUCUUAUGAAGAUGAGGGUGUGAGCAUUCCAAUGAGAGGGAAAGGGAAUUUCAAAGGCUCCCAGGGAGAGGAAAGAAUUUGGUACAUCAGUGGAAUAUAAAGAUGAAGAAUUGAGAGAGGCAGAGAGGGAUCUGGGAAGAAGUGGAAGAGGUAGGCAGGACUGAGGAGGCGGAAGAGGAUGUGGGAGAUUUGAGGAGAGCAGAAAAUGUGUGAAAUCCUUGUUUUGGAGAAUGGGCAAGGAACAUACUGGGGAAGUGUAGUAGGGUUGCUUGGCAGCAUUGAGACUCCUUUUGAGAUGUGUGGUCAUGAAUUUAAACUAGAACUAGUUGGCAUAGUGCACGUUGUUCUGAGGACUAGAUUAAAUGAAUGGCAGUUUUUGAUACAUGGUAGAUGCUCAAAAAUGUUGACUAGCUAUCUUAAGAGAAGAAAUAGAUGAGGAAAAUGCAACAUGCUCAAUUAUUUUUGUGACUGUUUGAAUUCAUAGGAGCACCUAAAUGUAUAUUCUGAUAUUUGCUUUAAGACUAAGGUUUUCUAAAAUAAGG
ensembl:lncRNA